rnacentral:rRNA from 1 species
GACGAACGCUGGCGGCGUGCUUAACACAUGCAAGUCGAACGGAAAGGCCCUGCUUUUGUGGGGUGCUCGAGUGGCGAACGGGUGAGUAACACGUGAGUAACCUGCCCUUGACUUUGGGAUAACUUCAGGAAACUGGGGCUAAUACCGGAUAUGAGCUCCUGCUGCACGGUGGGGGUUGGAAAGUUUCGGCGGUUGUGGAUGGACUCGCGGCUUAUCAGCUUGUUGGUGUGGUAGUGGCUUACCAAGGCUUUGACGGGUAGCCGGCCUGAGAGGGUAACCGGCCACAUUGGGACUGAGAUACGGCCCAGACUCCUACGGGAGGCAGCAGUGGGGAAUAUUGCACAAUGGGCGGAAGCCUGAUGCAGCAACGCCGCGUGCGGGAUGACGGCCUUCGGGUUGUAAACCGCUUUCGCCUGUGACGAAGCGUGAGUGACGGUAAUGGGUAAAGAAGCACCGGCUAACUACGUG